rnacentral:rRNA from 1 species
AUUGAACGCUGGCGGCAUGCUUUACACAUGCAAGUCGAACGGUAACAGGCCUUCGGGUGCUGACGAGUGGCGAACGGGUGAGUAAUGCAUCGGAACGUGCCCAGAGGUGGGGGAUAACGCAGCGAAAGCUGUGCUAAUACCGCAUGUGAUCUGAGGAUGAAAGCGGGGGACCAAGCAGCAAUGUUUGGCCUCGCGCCUCUGGAGCGGCCGAUGUCAGAUUAGGUAGUUGGUGGGGUAAAGGCCUACCAAGCCGACGAUCUGUAGCCGGUCUGAGAGGACGACCAGCCACACUGGGACUGAGACACGGCCCAGACUCCUACGGGAGGCAGCAGUGGGGAAUUUUGGACAAUGGGCGCAAGCCUGAUCCAGCAAUGCCGCGUGCGGGAAGAAGGCCUUCGGGUUGUAAACCGCUUUUGUACGGAACGAAAAGGCUCUGGCUAAUACCUGGGGCUGAUGACGGUACCGUAAGAAUAAGCACCGGCUAACUACGUG